UCAUUUUAGCUUCACUUUUUAGUAAAACACUCUCUCCUCUCUCUUUCUCUCCCACUUCAACCAAUGUCUCUCUCGCCUCCACCACUCUCUCGACCUCCAAGCUUCCCUCAACCUCAUCGUCUCCGCUGCCAGCAUACCCAACUCAGACCCAUCAACAAAAUUGAAGCCAAAACAUCAACUCACCAUUUGAAGCCAAACCCUCAAGCCUCAUAGAGCGCCUUUUAGACCCAGAUUAGAGAGCAAGGUUGGGGUUUGGAGUGAAUCGAGUGUAGAGAAGUUGACCACUAGCCCGGACCUCCGGUUCCGAUGAUACUAGCCUUUUUCUCAUUGGAUAUCCCCAAAAUCACUGCUUCCUACAUUGGACUUCGCAAGGAGUGAUCUAUAUUUCAUCGAUGGGGUUUGAUCUAGCUGAGCAAUAUCAGUUAUGGCGACUCCACAAAUUUCUUAUACUUCGCAAAAUGGGUAAUUUUUUCUAGCUUCAGAUUUUUGGGGUUUCUAUUGAUUGUGUGAUUUAAUUUAUAGCACUAACGAUAAUCAUUUUCUUAGUCAAAAGGGAUACAUUUUUUUUUGGCAUAGAAGCAAGUGCUGUUGAAUUUAGCAAGAUUGUAGUUGGUCCUCUUGAUUGGGAUUACUACAGUUUCUUUAACUAAAAACAGAGAUAAAACCUCUCUACAUAGCACACGACACUCGUUUUUGCACUAUGUUACUGAUAUUUCCAAAGAAUACUGACGCAGUUGAUAGGGUAAAUAUAUUUCCUUUCAUCCCUCCCUAGGUCCUGAAGUUGAAUCUUAUAGACUCAUGGCUUGUUUGUGUUUUGCCCUGGCUUACAAUGGCAUUCUCUGCAAAUUUUGGAGGGUGGAUUGCAGAUACACUUGUUAGCAAAGGUUUAUCUAUUACAAUGGUUCGAAAGUUGAAUGACA